AUCUUCCACGAUGGGCGAAAGCCUGAUGGAGCAACGCCGCGUGAGUGAAGAAGGAUUUCGGUUCGUAAAACUCUGUUGUAAGGGAAGAACAAGUACAGAAGUAACUGGCUUUACCUUGACGGUACCUUAUUAGAAAGCCACGGCUACCUUCGUGCCAGCAGCCGCGUUAAUACGUAGGUGGCAAGAGUUGCCCGGAAUUAUUGGGCGUAAAGCGCGCGCAGGUGGUUUCUUAAGUCUGAUGUGAAAGCCCACGGCUCAACCGUGGAGGGUCAUUGGAAACUGGGAGACUUGAGUGCAGAAGAGGAUAGUGGAAGUCCAAGUGUAGCGGUGAAAUGCGUAGAGAUUUGGAGGAACACCAGUGGCGAAGGCGACUAUCUGGUCUGUAACUGACACUGAGGCGCGAAAGCGUGGGGAGCAAACAGG
rnacentral:rRNA from 1 species